GAUGAACGCUAGCGGCAGGCCUAACACAUGCAAGUCGAGGGGUAACAUAGUUGAGCUUGCUUAACUGAUGACGACCGGCGCACGGGUGCGUAACGCGUAUGCAACCUACCUCUUACUGGGGAAUAGCCCGGAGAAAUCCGGAUUAAUGCCCCAUGGUAUUUAUUAACCGCAUGGUUUAUAAAUUAAAGAUUACGGUAAGAGAUGGGCAUGCGUCCCAUUAGCUAGAUGGUAAGGUAACGGCUUACCAUGGCAACGAUGGGUAGGGGGCCUGAGAGGGUGAUCCCCCACACUGGUACUGAGACACGGACCAG
rnacentral:rRNA from 1 species